CAGCAGCCGCGGGAAUACGUAGGUGGCAAGCGUUGUCCGGAAUUAUUGGGCGUAAAGCGCGCGCAGGCGGAUAGGUCAGUCUGUCUUAAAAGUUCGGGGCUUAACCCCGUGAUGAGAUGGAAACUGCCAAUCUAGAGUAUCGGAGAGGAAAGUGGAAUUCCUAGUGUAGCGGUGAAAUGCGUAGAUAUUAGGAAGAACACCAGUGGCGAAGGCGACUUUCUGGACGAAAACUGACGCUGAGGCGCGAAAGCCAGGGGAGCGAACGGGAUUAGAUACCCCCGUAGUCCCUGUCUCUUAUACA
rnacentral:rRNA from 1 species